rnacentral:lncRNA from 1 species
UGCCACUUUCCUUUGGAAUGCAUACAAUGUUGUUGCAAGAUUGCCGUUUCACGACCUUUUCUUUUUUAAGUUGUUGUGCUUAGGUUGAAGCCUUCUUUCUUAUCUCCUCAGCUAGUCUUUCAUUGUAGUACUUAGGGAGAACCCUUGACUCUAGUAAAGCUGUGAGCUUAUUACAGACCUUUCUUGAUGUCCUUACUUGCCUAUAAUCAUCCAUAGUUGCUUACUUCCAUACCCUUGUGCUUGUAUGCUUGCUUCUGAACUAAUAUUUUGACUGCCUUCCCAAUGUCACUUUAUUUUAUUUCUGUAACACUCAUACGAUACCUUUAACUACCCCAAAUCUUGUUUGAAUAUAUCUCAAGUAUUAUAAUGGUAUUCAUCAAGGCUGAAUUAUCCAUGUUAGGUUCUACUAUGUUUAUCUUAGACGAUCUGAUAACUUAUCUGUAACCUCCCGUUUAGCCAUAACUGGGAUCUUCCUGACCAAUUACGAACUACUCGUUGGCCCAUUCUCAUAUAAACAUUCAUUGUAAUCUUUCUUGGGUUAUUUUCUUUGUCUUAACUUACGUCUCGUACUGGCUCCUUAUUUAUAAUCACGACUCGGGCAGGAACCUUUACUUCCUCUUCUUGACGUCAUGCUUCCACAACAUUCUUGAAUUAUAGUGUAUCUGUAAGAUUUGGAUAAGUGCC